UACGUAGGCAGCGAGCGUUGUUCGGAGUUACUGGGCGUAAAGGGUGCGUAGGCGGUCGUUUAAGUUUGGUGUGAAAUCUCCCGGCUCAACUGGGAGGGUGCGCCGAAUACUGAAUGACUAGAGUGCGGGAGAGGAUAGUGGAAUUCCUGGUGUAGCGGUGAAAUGCGUAGAUAUCAGGAGGAACACCGGUGGUGUAGACGGCUAUCUGGACCGUAACUGACGCUGAGGCACGAAAGCGUGGGUAGCAAAUAGG
rnacentral:rRNA from 1 species